AACGUAGGUGGCGAGCGUUAUCCGGAUUUACUGGGCGUAAAGCGUGUGGCAGGCGGUUCAACAAGUGGUGUAUGAAAGGUGUCGGCUCAACCGAGAUAGGUUAUGCCAGACUGGUUGGACUAGAGUGUGAGAGAGGGACGUGGAAUUCCGGGUGUAGUGGUGAAAUGCGUAGAGAGUCCGGAGGAACCCCAGAGGCGAAGGCGGCGUCCUGGCUCGAC
rnacentral:rRNA from 1 species